rfam:Fukomys damarensis contig124405, whole genome shotgun sequence.
GUUGGCUAUGGAGACAUGGCACCCGUCACUGUGGGUGGCAAGAUAGUGGGCUCUCUGUGUGCCAUCGCCGGCGUGCUGACCAUUUCCCUGCCUGUGCCUGUCAUUGUCUCCAAC